rnacentral:rRNA from 1 species
UCUUCCCUCUUUCUUCGUGCCUAAUACAUGCAAGUCGAGCGAACAGACGAGGAGCUUGCUCCUCUGACGUUAGCGGCGGACGGGUGGGUAACACGUGGAUAACCUACCUAUAAGACUGGGAUAACUUCGGGAAACCGGAGCUAAUACCGGAUAAUAUAUUGAACCGCAUGGUUCAAUAGUGAAAGACGGUUUUGCUGUCACUUAUAGAUGGAUCCGCGCCGCAUUAGCUAGUUGGUAAGGUAACGGCUUACCAAGGCAACGAUGCGUAGCCGACCUGAGAGGGUGAUCGGCCACACUGGAACUGAGACACGGUCCAGACUCCUACGGGAGGCAGCAGUAGGGAAUCUUCCGCAAUGGGCGAAAGCCUGACGGAGCAACGCCGCGUGAGUGAUGAAGGUCUUCGGAUCGUAAAACUCUGUUAUUCGGGAAGAACAAAUGUGUAAGUAACUAUGCACGUCUUGACGGUACCUAAUCAGAAAGCCACGGCUAACUACGUG